GAAACAGCAAGGGCAAAACCCUCCAGUGAGCAUGUCCUGCACGAUGGAGGAGCAAGCUGGUUCCACUCCCAACUAGCUGCCCACCUGCCUCCCAGCGGUGAAGGACAGAGAUCUCAUUCAGCAGGAGAUAAAACAAGAUCCAAGGAGAAG